GAUGAACGCUGGCGGCGUGCCUAAUACAUGCAAGUCGAGCGAACAGACGAGGAGCUUGCUCCUCUGACGUUAGCGGCGGACGGGUGAGUAACACGUGGAUAACCUACCUAUAAGACUGGGAUAACUUCGGGAAACCGGAGCUAAUACCGGAUAAUAUAUUGAACCGCAUGGUUCAAUAGUGAAAGACGGUUUUGCUGUCACUUAUAGAUGGAUCCGCGCCGCAUUAGCUAGUUGGUAAGGUAACGGCUUACCAAGGCAACGAUGCGUAGCCGACCUGAGAGGGUGAUCGGCCACACUGGAACUGAGACACGGUCCAGACUCCUACGGGAGGAAGCAGUAGGGAAUCUUACGCAAUGGGCGAAAGCCUGACGGAGCAACGCCGCGUGAGUGAUGAAGGUCUUCGGAUCGUAAAACUCUGUUAUUAGGGAAGAACAAAUGUGUAAGUAACUAUGCACGUCUUGACGGUACCUAAUCAGAAAGCCACGGCUAACUACGUG
rnacentral:rRNA from 1 species